rnacentral:rRNA from 2 species
UCCUGGCUCAGGAUGAACGCUGGCGGCGUGGAUAAGGCAUGCAAGUCGAGUGGGUUUAGACCCACGGCAAACUGGGUAGUAACAGGUAGGUACAAACCUAAAAGUCGGGAAUAACCCAUUGAAAAUGGAAUAAUACUCGAUAGUCCCUCCGGGGUAAAGAUUUAUCGCUUUUAGAUUGGCCUGCUCAGUAUCAGCUAGUUGGUAAGGUAAUGGCUUACCAAGGCUAUGACGCUUAGGGGAGGUGAGAGCCUGGCCCCCACCAUUGGAACUUAGACACUGUCCAAACUCC